GUCCACGCCGUAAACGAUGUCAACUAGUCGUCGGGGCCUUCGGGUCUUGGUGGCGCAGCUAACGCGUGAAGUUGACCGCCUGGGGAGUACGGCCGCAAGGUUAAAACUCAAAUGAAUUGACGGGGGCCCCGCACAAGCGGUGGAGCAUGUGGUUUAAUUCGAUGCAACGCGAACAACCUUACCUACCCUUGACAUCCUCGGAACUUGGCAGAGAUGCCUUGGUGCCUUCGGGAACCGAGAGACAGGUGCUGCAUGGCUGUCGU
rnacentral:rRNA from 1 species